UAAUACGAAGGGGGCUAGCGUUGCUCGGAAUCACUGGGCGUAAAGCGCACGUAGGCGGCUUCUUAAGUCAGGGGUGAAAUCCUGGAGCUCGACUCCAGAACUGCCCUUGAUACUGAGGAGCUUGAGUCCGGGAGAGGUGAGUGGAACUGCGAGUGUAGAGGUGGAAUUCGUAGAUAUUCGCAAGAACACCAGUGGCGAAGGCGGCUCACUGGCCCGAGACUGACGCUGAGGUGCGAAAGCGUGGGGAGCAAACAGG
rnacentral:rRNA from 1 species